GAAAUGCGAUAAGUAAUGUGAAUUGCAGAAUUCAGUGAAUCAUCGAAUCUUUGAACGCACAUUGCGCCCGCCAGUAUUCUGGCGGGCAUGCCUGUUCGAGAGUCAUUUCAACCAUCAAGCCCCCGGGCUUGUGUUGGGGACCUGCGGCUGCCGCAGGCCCCGAAAACCAGUGGCGGGCUCGCUGUCACACCGGGCGUAGUAGAUUUUUCGUCUCGCCCAGGGCGUGCUGCGGGUUCCGGCCGUUAAAAAGCCUCUCUUUUAACCCAAGGUUGACCUCGGAUCAGGUAGGAAGACCCGCUGAACUUAAGC
rnacentral:misc_RNA from 1 species